rnacentral:lncRNA from 1 species
UCGUUGUACGCGCAAGCAUGUACCUAGUAAGUUAUUAUUAUUUUUUCUUUCGUAACUUACCUUUUGUUUGUUUUUUGUUUGUAGGUUCUUCCCAUUCUUCCCCCGCAGGUUCUAGUUCGAGGUCUUCUACAUCCAGUUCGGGGAGCUCGAGUUCUUCCUCCUGCAGCUCCUCUUCUCCUGAGCGGGAUGUAGAAAUUGG